rnacentral:rRNA from 1 species
UACGGAGGGUGCAAGCGUUGUCCGGAUUUAUUGGGUUUAAAGGGUGCGUAGGCGGCCCUGUAAGUCAGUGGUGAAAUACUGCAGCUUAACUGUAGCAUUGCCAUUGAUACUGUAGGGCUUGAGUACAGAUGAGGUAGGCGGAAUUGAUGGUGUAGCGGUGAAAUGCAUAGAUAUCAUCCAGAACACCGAUUGCGAAGGCAGGUGGCUACGAUUUAUUUGACACUGAGGCACGAAAGCAUGGGGGAGCAAACAGG